rnacentral:misc_RNA from 1 species
UUAUAGGUUACAAUUUUUUACGUUCGUUACACUGAUGUUUGUAAAGUGUGGGCCGAAGCCCAACGAUGCACAGGUGUGGAUGAUGAUUGCAAGGCCCGAGGGCCAAUCAUUAAUGAUCCUUCCGCAGGUUCACCUACGGAAA